rnacentral:lncRNA from 1 species
GUGUUGGAAGACCCGGGGGGCGUGAGCGUCAGUGCCCUCAAAAGGGGCUUGGGCUCCCCGAGGUACAGGCAACCCCCUACUCCUGGGGCCGAGCCACCCAACCUGCUCCUGGCACUUGCCAUCUACACGGGACACAAGCUCCAGCACGGGGGGACACCAGGUGUGGCCGGCAGCCCCUUCUCCAAAUACGCACUGAGCACCUACUCUGUUCUAAGCACCGGGAGGCAGCCCCACACAAAACAGAGAAAAUCCCUCCCCUCCCACGCCUGGAAUAUAGCGGGGAGACAGAGAGCAAGGUGUGCUGGAUGGAGACACAUGCUGGAUGCAGCAAGGAGGCGCAGGAUGGGAGAAGAGGCUCCCGACGGCCGGGAAGGCUUCGAGGAGGUGACAUGUGAGAAGGAGCCGGAAGAGAUAUCUGUGGAUAUUCUUCUUUGAUACUAUACCAUGCAAGCGCCACUGAACAAGCAGUAAUUUCGGAAAGGUUAGUUGCCAUGAAGUAACCAACGAACUUUUUGCGCUCUGUUACAUUAACAUCCAUUGGUUUAUCCUGCAGUUUGGAUUUUUUUUUUAAUUUUUGGAGAGAGAGUCUCGCUCUGUCGCCCAGGCU